ensembl:lncRNA
AUUGACAUCAAAUACUGAUGUUUUGUCGUCAGGUAUGGCAACCAAAAUCCAACAUCUAGUAGACGUUAUUAUGGUAACGUCCAAUCAACGUCAAGUUAUAACAUCAUUUGAUGUUGAUCUUUAGUUAGUUUUAGGUUGUGGCAUUAACUAACCAAAAUCCAACCUCGAGACAACGUCUCAAGCCAACGUCACAUUGACAUCAAAAACUUAUGUUUUGUCGUCAGGUAUGGCAACCAUAAUCCAACGUUUUCUAGACGUCAUAAUGGCAACAUCCACACAACGUCAAAUUAAAACAUCAUUUGAUGUUGAUCUGUAGUUAGUUUUAGGUUGUGGCAUUAACUAACCAAAAUCCAACGUCGCGCCAACGUCUCAAGCCAACGUCACAUUGACAUCAAAUACUGAUACUUAGUCGUCAGGUAUGGCAACCAAAAUCCAAUGUCUUCAAGACGCCAUACUGGUAACGUCCAAUCAACGUCCAAUUAUAACGUCAUUUGACUUUGAUCUUUAGUUUGUUUUUAGGUUGUGACAUUAACUAACCUAAACCCAACGUCGAGCCAACGUCUCAGGCCAACGUCACAUUGACAUCAAAUACUGAUGUUUAGUCGUCAGGUAUGGCAACCAAAAUCCAAUGUCUUCAAGACAUCAUAAUGGUAACGUCCAAUCAACGUCAAAUUAUAACGUAAUUUGACUUUGAUCUUUAGUUUGUUUUUAGGUUGUGACAUUAACUAACCUAAACCCAACGUCGAGCCAACGUCUCAGGCCAACGUCACAUUGACAUCAAAUACUGAUGUUUAGUCGUCAGGUAUGGCAACCAAAAUCCAAUGUCUUCAAGACGUCA